rnacentral:lncRNA from 1 species
GACAGAUACUGUUCCAACAUCGACAAGCACUGGCUGAACAGCUAAAGGUCACAGAAGACCCUGCUCUUAUUCUGCACCUCACAUCAGUCCUGUUGUUUCAGUUUUCAACCCACAGCAUGCUCCAUGCACCUGGAAGAUGUGUCCCACAGAUCAUUGCUUUUCUUAAUAGUAAAAUUCCAGAGGAUCAGCAUGCUCUUUUGGUAAAGUAUCAAGGUUUGGUUGUAAAGCAGCUAGUCAGUCAAAGUAAGAAGACUGGGCAGGGAGAUUAUCCCUUGAAUAAUGAAUUAGACAAAGAACAAGAAGAUGUUGCCAGUACUACUCGUAAAGAGCUUCAAGAACUUUCUUCAUCCAUUAAAGACCUUGUUCUCAAAUCUAGGAAAUCAUCUGUGACGGAAGAGUAAUGAUCUUAAUUUACAUUUGUCAUAUAGUAAGCAUUUUCCCCCAAGGUUGAAGGUGAGUGGUCACAAAAAAGUAGUCACUAUACAACUCCCCUCUCCCUGCAAAAACCACCUCAUACACACACAAUUCAGUUAAAACAGUAGUAUUGUAUUAAAUGUAAAUCUUAAAAAGAUGUGAAUUUUUGUAAAUUGGGUUCUUCAUAGAAGUUUUUUUCCACCUGAUUUUCACACAAAUACUAUAUGAAAUUUUUCAUAUUAUUUUCACAUAAUUUUAAAAAUUACAUAUUUCAGGUUUGUUCUCUUUCCAAAUGUUGAAUGAAAAACAAAUUUUCCGAUCCAUUUAUCCCUGGGGAAGGAUUCAUUUGUUGCGAGUGCCAGUAUACUUAAAUGUAUACUUUAUAUACAUUUAAGCAGAAAUUUAAAAUGUGGUCUUUUUUUUUUUUUAAAGAAACACUUCUGUGUCAGAAAUGAAAAUAAAUCAUGUUUUUUAUUUUUAAAUAGAAAGCACUUCAAAACUAAAAUACAGAAAUUUACAAAAAAGAAAAAUUAUUACUAAGCCCUUGCUCUUAUUUUUGGCAGAAUAAACAUUGAUUUUGGUUGGGGCUGCAAGGAUGCCUUUACAGGUGCACAAGAACGCUAGAGUGGCCCAUGCAUUGCUGUGUUCUCUUCUAAAACAAGCUACUAACAAGAGAGAGAACACAUGCAAUUUAUUACCAGUAAGCAUAAGUCAUAUUUAACAUUGGAAUAACUAAGCAUUUUAUACAAAGAUUUUUCUUUGACCCAGUUUGCAUUUGUACAUUUUAUUUUUUUAGUUCAAUAGCUCCUCUGUCACAUAAUACUUUGUAAAUACUAGUGUGAAAAACAGAUAGGAUGCCUUUUCCAGUGGUAGGAGCAUCUGUAAGUGCAUUUAAAUCAUUAGAAGCUUUUUUCCAAAACUAGAAACCCUUAUUAAAAAAUAGAUAUUUUUUCCUAAAGAUUAUUAGUUAAAAAUAACUAAAAGAGUUCCUUAAUCAUUUCAACCAAAUGAAUUUCAAGCAACAGCUUACUAUUUAUCAAAAAGGGAUUUAAUUAUUUUGAAUAUAAUUAUAAAUUAAAUUUCAAAUAUUUAAAAAUACUAUUUUGUAUAAUUCCUUAUGACAUUUUAAACUUUGUAUUUUAAAAUAUUUGAAUACGAAAAGAUCAGUCUACCUCUACUCCAUUCUAGACAAAGUAUUAAUCCUUAGUGAAAGUAAUUAAUUAAAUUGCCGACUUGGCAUUAUUAUUAAACUUGAUAGGAACGCAACAUUAAAUUUAAAAAUGUUUUCCCAUGGGUAAUUUUCUAUUAUAUAUUUUCAUAUGGGCAAAGGGAAAAAAUGAUAAAUCCUCUGUAAUCACAAACCCCAAUUUCGUUUUGUUUAUUCAGCUUCUAAAAUAUUGAACACCCAGACUUUUAAUUCAACCUUUAAGAACCUUAUCAUUUAUAUUUCAGUAGAUAUCAAAGUAAUCCAUGUUUGUGUCAAAUGAUCAUAGAAAAUAAAUAGAAGAGACAGUGAAGCAAGUAAAAAGAAAAGCAUUGUUUUAAUUUGUUUGCAUUAAUUUUUUUCAUUUGUCAAAAUGCUUCUUUUGUUGCCACAGUAAAGAACAGUUUUUAUUGUUUUGUAAGUAAAAUUACAUAGCUGAUUUUGUAUGUAAAGAUUAAUUUCCAUAAUAAAAAUUAUUGUAUGUUUACUGUGAUCUUAAUGGGC